GUCAAGAUAGCUGAGUUGGUUUAAAGUGCCAUUUUUAGUUAUUGGUCCGAAAGGGCAUUGGUUCAAAUCCCAGUAUUGACA
rnacentral:tRNA from 1 species